CACACGGCACAAGAAAGGGGAACUGCACAGGAAAAGGAACUGCACACGGCACAGGGAAGGGGGAACUGCACACGGCACAGGGAAGGGGACGGCACACGCCACAGGGAAGGGGAACUGCACACGCCACAGAGAAGGGGAACUGCGCACGCCACAGACACCGCACAGCAUCCUGAGGUCACCGUGUGGAAAACAGAGCGGGGACACAGAGACACCACUGGGCCCCGGUCCCAGAGGGAACCCGCCAGGCCCUGCACCCCACGCCGUGCGGGGACUUGCCCAGCACCCUGUGAGCGACCGCUGUUCUUUCCAUCUUAGAAGAGGAUCGAGGUCUGCGGGCCACGGUGACCGACACCUGGCGUGAGGACAGGGUGGAGAUGUGGCGUGAAGUGGGAGGGAGGUGGGGGGCACCGAGGCUGCAUCCUGGGACCCCAGCACAGCUGUCACGGAGCCCAUCGCUGCCGCCCUCCAGUGCUGCCGCCCUCCAGCGUGUCACUCAGCCCUACGCGGCCAGGGCAGGGUUGGAGGCUCACCUGGUCACCUGCGUGCGCGUGUUAAAGUCCAGGGAGCGCAUGGAGCGGAGAACCUCGAUGCAGCCCAUGUACUGAGGGGAGAGAACAGGUGUCAGACGCCAUCGGAACCCCCGCAGUGGAGCCACGUCCCUUUUCCCAGCAGCCCUUCGCCUUUUCCGCCACCCCUGGGGUCGAGCCCUUUCCUCUGUCCCUGGAGGCUCUGGGGCCUUCGUGCCUCCCCCGCCUCAAGGCCCAGCCUCAACACUGUCCCGAGAGCCGCCCCCUCUGACUCCAGGCAUGUUUUUCUCCGUUGCUGUUUCUCAGGAGCCUGGUGGUUUCCUCCCGAGGCUCUAUGGUGCUUGUUCAUUUAGCCAUCUUGCCCUCGUCGGUCUCUUUCUGUUCUGCCAGCACCUAAGCCAAGGAGUGUGGGGACGGUGCGAUCCUGAGCACCUCCCUAUCUCCAGCGCCCAGUUCAGGGUCUGGCAAACAGUGGGGCAGACGUCCCGGGCAGCCACAGAUGCACAUACUGCUGGCCUCGCCCUCCACAGGAAGUUUGCAGGCUCCUGGCCGAGACAGCCAUUUCCAUGAAAAGGGAAUUCACCGUCUCAAUGACUCUGAUAAUACUGAGGGACGAGACGGGCAGAGGCGUCCCACCAAGUCCCUGACCUGCUUCAGUGCUGUGAAGGGUGGGGGAGCAGGGCCAGGAGGUGAAGGCCACAGCGUCCUUCCAACCUUGGCCCUUGCUAGAGGGAGGGUAAGGGGCACAGCCCACGUCAUCUCUAUGAAAUGUCCUACAGAGGCAGCAAGAGGAUGUGUGGGUGCCAGGGGCCGGGGAAUGAAGGAUGAUGAGAACAGGUUUCCUACUGGGGUCGUGAGAAAUUCUGGAAUUAGACAAAAGGGAUGGUGGCAAGAUAUUAUGAAUGUACUAAAUGCUACUGAAUUGUGAAAAAUGCAACAUGCAAAA